UACGUAGGGGGCAAGCGUUGUCCGGAUUUAUUGGGCGUAAAGAGCGUGUAGGCGGUUUUACAGGUCCGCUGUGAAAACUCGAGGCUCAACCUCGAGAGCGUCGCGGAAACCAUGUGGCUAGAGUCCGGAAGAGGAGAGUGGAAUUCCUGGUGUAGCGGUGAAAUGCGCAGAUAUCAGGAAGAACACCCGUGGCUAAGGCGGCUCUCUAGUACGGUACUGACGCUGAGACGCGAAAAGCGUGGGGAGCGAACAGG
rnacentral:rRNA from 1 species